UACGGAGGGUGCAAGCGUUAUCCGGAUUCACUGGGGUUAAAGGGUGCGUAGGUGGGCAGGUAAGUCAGUGGUGAAAUCUCCGGGCUUAACCCGGAAACUGCCAUUGAUACUAUCAGUCUUGAAUACCGUGGAGGUAAGCGGAAUAUGUCAUGUAGCGGUGAAAUGCUUAGAUAUGACAUAGAACACCAAUUGCGAAGGCAGCUUACUACACAACGAUUGACGCUGAGGCACGAAAGCGUGGGGAUCAAACAGG
rnacentral:rRNA from 1 species